rnacentral:rRNA from 1 species
GCAGAGGAUAGCCCAGAGAAAAUUUGGAUUAAUACCUCAUAGUAUAGUACUUUGGCAUCAAGGAACUAUUAAAGUCACAAACGGCAAAAGAUGAGCAUGCGUCCCAUUAGCUAGUUGGUAAGGUAACGGNUUACCAAGGCUACGAUGGGUAGGGGUCCUGAGAGGGAGAUCCCCCACACUGGUACUGAGACACGGACCAGACUCCUACGGGAGGCAGCAGUGAGGAAUAUUGGACAAUGGGCGCAAGCCUGAUCCAGCCAUGCCGCGUGCAGGAUGACGGUCCUAUGGAUUGUAAACUGCUUUUAUACAGGAAGAAACACUCCGACGUGUCGGAGCUUGACGGUACUGUAAGAAUAAGGAUCGGCUAACUCCGUG